CCCACCAUUCCCAAACUGCCGUUCCCACCAUUCCCAAACCGGGGUUCCCACCAUUCCCAAACUGCCGUUCCCACCAUUCCCAAACCGGGGUUCCUGCCAUUCCCGCCGUUCCCAAACCGCCGUUCCUGCCGUUCCCAAACUGGGGUUCCCGCCAUUCCCAAACCGGGGUUCCCGCCAUUCCCAAACCGGGGUUCCUGCCGUUCCCAAACUGGUGUUCCUGCUGUUCCCACCAUUCCCAAACCGGGAUUCCCGCUGUUCCUGCCAUUCCCAAACCAGGGUUCCCGCCGUUCCCAAACCGCCGUUCCUGCCGUUCCCAAACCGGGGUUCCUGCCAUUCCCAAACUGCCGUUCCCACCAUUCCCAAACCGGGGUUCCCACCAUUCCCAAACCGGGGUUCCCGCCGUUCCCAAACCGGGAUUCCUGCCAUUCCCAAACUGGGGUUCCCGCCAUUCCCAAACUGGGGUUCCCGCCGUUCCCAAACCGGGGUUCCCACCAUUCCCAAACCAGGGUUCCUGCCAUUCCCAAACCGGGAUUCCUGCCGUUCCCAAACCAGGGUUCCUGCCGUUCCCAAACUGGUGUUCCUGCUGUUCCCACCAUUCCCAAACCGGGGUUCCUGCUGUUCCCACCAUUCCCAAACCGGGGUUCCCGCCGUUCCCAAACCGGGAUUCCUGCCGUUCCCAAACUGGGGUUCCCGCCAUUCCCAAACCAGGGUUCUUGCCAUUCCCAAACCGGGGUUCCCGCCAUUCCCAAACCGGGAUUCCUGCCAUUCCCAAACUGGGGUUCCCGCCAUUCCCAAACUGGGGUUCCUGCCGUUCCCAAACUGCCGUUCCUGCCAUUCCCAAACCGGGGUUCCCGCCAUUCCCAAACCGGGGUUCCCGCCAUUCCCAAACCGGGAUUCCUGCCGUUCCCAAACCAGGGUUCCUGCCGUUCCCAAACUGGUGUUCCUGCUGUUCCCACCAUUCCCAAACCGGUGUUCCCGCCGUUCCCGGCAUUCCCGCCGUUCCCAGAGGCCGGUCCCACAGAGCGCCGGUGCCGGGGCUGAUUUUGGGGCGGAUUUGGG
rnacentral:lncRNA from 1 species